UACGGAGGGUGCGAGCGUUGUCCGGAAUCACUGGGCGUAAAGGGCGCGUAGGCGGCCUGAUAAGUAGGGGGUGAAAUCUUGCGGCUUAACCGCAAGGCUGCCUUCUAAACUGUCGGGCUAGAGCACAGUAGAGGCAGGUGGAAUUCCCGGUGUAGCGGUGGAAUGCGUAGAGAUCGGGAAGAACAUCAGUGGCGAAGGCGGCCUGCUGGGCUGUUGCUGACGCUGAGGCGCGACAGCUAGGGGAGCGAAUGGG
rnacentral:rRNA from 1 species